CCUACGGGUGGCUGCAGUGGGGAAUAUUGCACUAUGGGCGCAAGCCUGAUGCAGCCAUGCCGCGUGUGUGAAGAAGGCCUUCGGGUUGUAAAGCACUUUCAGCGGGGAGGAAGGCGGUGAGGUUAAUAACCUCAUCGAUUGACGUUACCCGCAGAAGAAGCACCGGCUAACUCCGUGCCAGCAGCCGCGGUAAUACGGAGGGUGCAAGCGUUAAUCGGAAUUACUGGGCGUAAAGCGCACGCAGGCGGUCUGUCAAGUCGGAUGUGAAAUCCCCGGGCUCAACCUGGGAACUGCAUUCGAAACUGGCAGGCUAGAGUCUUGUAGAGGGGGGUAGAAUUCCAGGUGUAGCGGUGAAAUGCGUAGAGAUCUGGAGGAAUACCGGUGGCGAAGGCGGCCCCCUGGACAAAGACUGACGCUCAGGUGCGAAAGCGUGGGGAGCAAACAGGAUUAGAUACCCUAGUAGUC
rnacentral:rRNA from 1 species